CUGCCCUCGCCCUCUGCCUCCUAGAUCUGUGGUUCCCACUGGAUGCCUUGUGCCCAACUGAACUUCAGCUUCUUGACUGGCCCUUCCCGUAGCUGACUGCAAUUAGGUGUGUCUUCAGUGUUAAACAUCUCCUUUUCAAGGUAAAAUCAAGAGGUCAUGGGAACCCAGACACUUUCAGAUGCUGAUGGUGGGGAGAAUGUGUUAGACACAGAGCACCAUCUGGCAUUUUUCUACUGGUCUGAAGGCUUCUGGGGAGGGCGCUCAUCACUGGUUUGAAGAAGAUGGAGAGAAGUAGGCUGCAGCCCCAUUGGUAAACAUUUCCUGAUGCUAUAAAGCAGUUUGCAACCUAGGGCAACACUGUAUGCUUGAUUAAGCUUGCUAUGAAAAG
rnacentral:lncRNA from 1 species